AUAGGCACAGGUAGCCUGGUUACGGCAACAGAAAUAUCAGCAGAAAGGAAGGCAACCGUUGUUGGAAAGCCAGGGACGUUAAUUAUGGAUUGUAUAGUACACCAGUGAGUUGCUCUGUUUUAAAUGAUGUGUAAUUGACUAGACCAGUUGACUAUUGCAGAUCUGAUGAAAUCUGGGGCGGGAUGACAAUCUGGAUACUCCCAGUUUUCAAGACGUCUUCAAAUAAGCGACUAUAUCAAUAAUACAUCCUUAAAAUAAUCCUAUUUAUUGAUUUUUUUUUAUAAAAGGUUUUUUUUUGUCUUAUAGGAACGUGUACAUGCAUGAUGAAUUAAGCGAGUUUUCAGAUUCUGUGUCGCGAGUAGAAAUGUGGCUAUGCAAAACCCUGCAAACCUCCCCCCCCCCACUCCGCAUCACGUCUUAUAUUAUUCUUGCUAAUAAAAAUAGGAAUGGGGUUACCUCUCCAGUUCUCUGCUCUGUACGACUCAUGUAUACACUAUACAUCAUACUAUUUUUCCAACUUUUGCAGACACAACAUUGAUCCGCAAAAAGCGUGUAUGAUUGGUGAUAAGUAAGUAUUGAAACAUCUGAUUGUGUAUUUUUAGAGUCGUCAAAUUUUGUGUAACAUUAACAGCCUCUUACCCAGGCGCUCAGUAAAGAAAAUCGCGCAAAGCACUUUAGUGUUAUAUAUAGAUCAGUGAUUAAGCUGAGCGAGCGCGCUGGAGUGCGACAAGAUAAAUUUCCAUCGCGUCCUCCCCAAGCACCCUCGCGCGUUCGCAUAGCUUACCCACUGGUCUAUAUAUAGCACUGAAGUGCAUAGCACGCUUUUCCUUCUUAGGCGCCUACGUAAGAGGCUGGAACAUUAAAAUGAUAUAUCUUAUACAAUCGUACAACUAUAGACAGUUUUCGUUGGAGUAUAAUAAUAAUAAUAAUGAAAACUUUAUUGAAUUUUUUUGCACUUAUAAUUGAAAAUCUCACUGUUAAAG